AUUGAACGCUGGCGGCAUGCUUUACACAUGCAAGUCGAACGGUAACAGGUUAAGCUGACGAGUGGCGAACGGGUGAGUAAUGCAUCGGAACGUUCCCGGUCGUGGGGGAUAACAUUCUGAAAGUUACGCUAAUACCGCAUACGAUCUAUGGAUGAAAGCGGGGGAUCGCAAGACCUCGAGCGAUUGGAGCGGCCGAUAUCAGAUUAGGUAGUUGGUGGGGUAAAGGCUUACCAAGCCGGCGAUCUGUAGCUGGUCUGAGAGGACGACCAGCCACACUGAGACUGGGACACGGCCCAGACUCCUACGGGAGGCAGCAGUGGGUAAUUUUGGACAAUGUGCGAAAGCCUGAUCCAGCCAUGCCGCGUGCAGGAUGAAGGUCUUCGGUUUGUAAUCUGCUUUUGUACGGAACGAAAAGGUUUGGGCUAAUAUGCUGAGCUUAUGACGGUACCGUAAGAAUAGGCACCGGCUAACUACGUGCCAGCCGCCGCCGUAA
rnacentral:rRNA from 1 species